UGGGGAAUAUUGCACAAUGGGCGAAAGCCUGAUGCAGCAACGCCGCGUGAGGGACGACGGCCUUCGGGUUGUAAACCUCUUUAGCAAGGAAGAAGCGAAAGUGACGGUACUUGCAGAAAAAGCGCCGGCUAACUACGUGCCAGCAGCCGCGGUAAUACGUAGGGCGCAAGCGUUAUCCGGAAAUUAUUGGGGCGUAAAGAGCUCGUAGGCGGUUUGUCGCGUCUGCUGUGAAAACCCGAGGCUCAACCUCGGGCCUGCAGUGGGUACGGGCAGACUAGAGUGCGGUAGGGGAGAUUGGAAGCUCCUGGUGUAGCGGUGGAAUGCGCAGAUAUCAGGAAGAACACCGAUGGCGAAGGCAGAUCUCUGGGCCGUAACUGACGCUGAGGAGCGAAAGGGUGGGGACAAAAGCAGGCUUAGAAUACCCUGGUAGUCCACCCCGUAAACGUUGGGAACUAGUUGUGGGGUCCAUUCCACGGAUUCCGUGGACGCAGCUAACGCAUU
rnacentral:rRNA from 1 species